AUUGAACGCUGGCGGCAUGCUUAACACAUGCAGGUCGAACGGUAACAGGUGUAGCAAUACAUGCUGACGAGUGGCGGACGGGUGAGGAAUGCUUGGGAAUCUGCCUGUUAGUGGGGGACAACCCGGGGAAACUCGGGCUAAUACCGCAUACGCUCUACGGAGGAAAGCGGGGGACCGUAAGGCCUCGCGCUAACAGAUGAGCCCAAGUCGGAUUAGCUAGUUGGUGGGGUAAAAGCCUACCAAGGCGACGAUCCGUAGCUGGUCUGAGAGGACGAUCAGCCACACUGGGACUGAGACACGGCCCAGACUCCUACGGGAGGCAGCAGUGGGGAAUAUUGGACAAUGGGGGCAACCCUGAUCCAGCAAUGCCGCGUGUGUGAAGAAGGCCUGCGGGUUGUAAAGCACUUUUGGCAGGGAUGAAAAGCACUGGAUUAAUAACCCAGUGUGUUGACCUAACCUGCAGAAGAAGCACCGGCCAACUCUGUG
rnacentral:rRNA from 1 species